rnacentral:ncRNA from 12 species
UGACCACUUCUGUUUUUUAGAAGUCAAGGCCAUACGGACAGCCGGGUCAACUGCCGA